rnacentral:rRNA from 1 species
UACGUAGGGGGCUAGCGUUGUCCGGAUUUAUUGGGCGUAAAGAGCUCGUAGGCGGUUUGUUGCGUCUAUCGUGAAAACCUGCAGCUUAACUGUGGGCUUGCGGUGGAUACGGGCAGACUUGAGUUCGGUAGGGGAGACUGGAAUUCCUGGUGUAGCGGUGAAAUGCGCAGAUAUCAGGAGGAACACCGGUGGCGAAGGCGGGUCUCUGGGCCGAUACUGACGCUGAGGAGCGAAAGCGUGGGGAGCGAACAGG